rnacentral:tRNA from 1 species
GGAGAGGUGGCAGAGUGGUCGAUUGCGGCGGUCUUGAAAACCGUUGUACUGAAAGGUACCCGGGGUUCGAAUCCCUGUCUCUCCGCAA